rnacentral:lncRNA from 1 species
UUUUAAAAGUGAUUUCUCCUUUUUUUUUUUCCCAAAUAAUUUCCAGCAAUUAAGUUCACAUGCAAAAAGCUGAUUCCACGUACAGAAAAUACUCUGAAAUAACUGAAGGAUACCCAUUCCAGUCCUCAAACUGACAAAAAUACACUUCACAGUCAUCAAUACAAAUAGAGGAAGCAAACAAAAUACAAAUCCACAGCUGCAAAGCUUCAGAUACACAAAAUGACUAUUUUAAUGUUGUGACAGAUCCAUAGUUUGAAAAUAUACUAGAGCAUGUUUUCAUCAAACUAACAUGGGGUUAAGGUUACCUGUGCUGUACAGGUACGUGUGACUAAAACCAGCUGGUGGCAUUCUGCCUCUCCCCAAAAUAGUAAUGGGAUGCAUAUGCUGAAAGUCCAUAUGAGAGAAAUGACAACAUGAAACUGAACUUGCACACAGGAAACCCUUAAGAUUAAUAUACAGGAGCACAAAAAUGAUAAAAGCAGGUUUUUGCUAGGGAAUAAUAAAGAAAACAAACCAACAAGCAUCUGACAACACAUAACUGGAAAUACUGUAGAUACACUGCGACACUUCAUUAUAAACCCCACUGGCGAUUUACAAUCUGACACCCAAUAUGCAGAUUCAUUGCCAGAACUCCCGUUUUCACCUGCUUGUGGACCAAAAUGCCAUAAACCAUACGUCUUCAUCUGGGUUACGACGACAGUUCCCAACAAAGUCCUUAAACUUUAAUAAGCUGCAUAAACAGUUGCAAACGGUCAUUUGCUCUAAUUAUAUUACUGUCAAAAUGGAAAAAAAGAAAUAUUUGAGACUUAAUUACUGCUUCUUCAACUUAAAACUGGAGCAGAAAAGCAGCUCAAGGAAUUCUGAAAAUGGGGGUGAAUUCAAACGUGGGCAUUAGUCAAGGGCUCCAAGGUUCUGUACAGCAAUGAAAGUACGGAAACAAAAUAAGCAAAUUCAAGAAAGGAAAUAAGCACUGGUAUUUCACCUCAAAAAACUUCAGCAAAAAUGCUUCUUCCUAAAUGCAGAUAAUUAGGAGCAUGGUUGACGACAUUGCUGCAAGAUACCCAUGGUUUAUAAUCUUUGACUGAGAUAGAAAAAUAAUUCUCUUGCUUCCGUGCCAAACAGGACUUGCAAAUAUAACCUAUUCCCAUUAAAACUGUGCUUGGUGUCUUAAAUGUUUAAGGCUAUACAUGCAUUGAAAUUUAAGGAAUUUCAAAUUGAAACAGUAGUUGAAAACUGUGUUCUAUCACAUAAAUUCUACAACGAAGAGACUCUGGUAAGAAAUGUACACACAAUGCAGCAUGAGUCUGUUUCUCUAAGACCAGCAUACAUUAGACAGUUAUUAUAUAUCAUCAGGACUCCAGACACAGAAAAGCCAAAUCUGUUCUCAAGUGUUGCACACUUCAGAUAGAGUUAUAAAAUGGGUAGAAUAAGCUAAUUUGACAGCACUGACUGACUUAUAUUUUUGCUUUUGCUUUGUGAUGGGCUUUUGAUUAAAGUGCACAAAGAAAUACAACUGAAACACUUUGCUAGUGAUACAAUAACACACAACCAGUCAGAAAAGAGGUAUCUUGAAUUCUCAGCUGUGAGUCACAUUUACAGAAGCCUAUUUUAUAUUUGUUCGAAGAGAUCCAUUAUAUCAUUUCUGUCUUUAAGUAAUAGCAAGUCCAAACAUUACUUGUCCAAAGAAUUAGAAACAGACUUGGAUCUUUGGUUAACACCACGUGACACUACAUCAGACACAGGAAUCAAUCAAGAAUAAACAGUCGUAUAAGGAGGUUUCUUGGAAAGGGGGGUGAGGAAGGGAAGGGGAAAACUCUGAAUUCAAAUUGCGUUGGACUGAACUGCCACUUGAAACCUCCUCUACUAGGAAUAAUCAGGUUAAGACAUCUCUUCAGUUGCAGUGACUGCUUACACACUAGAGCUGUAGUUUCUCUACAUAUUAGUUUUAUACAAAAGAAAGAAGGCACCGAGUGCAUCGGUGGCAUACAGGCAGUAUAAAAGUAUGCAAGAAAAUGCUACAUACUGUAUAUUUAAUACCUUUUAAAAAUGCGGUGAAUGUGUGCUAUCUCUAUGCAAUAUAAUGAUUCACAAAUCCAAUUCCUUAUAUUCCAAUGAAAGAAUGAUUUAAAAUGUGAAAGACAUUUUAAUAAUCUUGCUGAUAGCAGCACGAUUCAAUAUUGGUAUUCACUAAGAUCAGCUAUUAGCUUAUAGUCACCAGAAAGCAAGUUCAAAAUCACUGAAGAUCAAGGGAACUAUAAUCUAUAACCACACUUCUGGAACAGAGCCAGCAGCCUUUACUCAUGACAGAUGUCCCAUGAAGAAGGGAGAGGAGGCUCAGUUUUACCACUGUUGUUCAUGUUCAUAGUGCCUUUCUCUGAGUCAUCCUGGAGAAAUAGAUGGAAUUGCUUAUAGGGAAAGGUACUACAUAGCAUGAGAGACACGUGGUUAAACCAGGACCUGAGUAAAAGGCAGUAGGUUCAGGCCCUUAGUCAUUAUAUUAGCACUUUAGAUUGUGUAACAGUGAUAUAGCUUGCUCAUAGAGCAUUUUAUUUUACAUUGUUAAAUCAUCUUAUAUAAAAAUAGGUAAGAAAGCUCUGUAAGAAAGUAUAUAGACUAUAUAAGGAGAAAUCUCUCCUUAAAAAAAGCAAAGAAAGGGAAAAAAUUGAAUAAAAGGUUUCACUAAUUACACUUUGUCAUGAAAAUCACAUUAAAAACAGUUACCAUAAACGAAACAGUACUGAGCACUAAUGAACCUUGUGGUUUACUGGAAAGGACAGCAAACUAGCUGUACAGUAAAAAAAGAUCUUUGCUCUAGCUCCUUUUUUGUAAAUAUUCCCUAAUACAUUCAACUGCUUAGAAAUUUUCUUAAAAUGUCAUAAUAGCAAAAUUUGCUAUCAACACUUGUUCAAAGCCCUGCUCCUUGCUCACACAAUGGCCUAGAGAUUACAUCUCAAAGCUACGGUCGUGCUUUUAGUCAAUUCAAACUCCUAUUUUGGAAAUGAACCAAAUGUUACAAAGCAAUCCACUUUAAACCCUCGGCAUGCAGACAGUGUCCACAGGAUUCACAAAACAUGGCAAAAUAAAUAACCUGCUACAAUGGGCAAGGCUCCUGUCCUCAGGUAUAAGAGAAAAAAAGGAUGACAUUAAUUACAUCCCUGAAUGUCCAUGAGGUAUUCCUUCAGCGGUAUGGUAUUACUGCUUCUGCUCUCCUGAGUAGGCUCUUCAGACAGGCAGCUUUUGGAGGCUUUAUGUCAACUUGAGCAGUAGCAUGCUUCCAAGGAGGUGAAUGAAUUCUUCCUGCUACUAGGCCAGCCUUGCCCAUUUCCUGGGCAUAGCCAUUUCCUAGUCUUCAUUCCUGACAGGAGCAAAACUACCUGCUUUCCUGAUUCCUGGCACAUUCCUCUGCGUAAGGAUCUUACUUCUAUAUUAUACCAGCAUAAGCCUGCACAGGAAAACCUGAUCUAGCAUGUAUCAAACCAAUUUAUUAAUUCAACCACACCAUGUUAUAUAUGAACUAAGCUUGCUAGAGUUAAUAUAAUGAUGCCAUAUUCAGGUAGGCAUAAUAUACGCAGACGCAGGUAAGAUUUCUGCAUAGUCUGCAGAAAGGAAGAAACCCUGCUUGAACUUAAGGAGGGGCAGUGAUAAGUCCAUAAGGCUAAACUAAUCCAUAUCACUGUAGGGCAGCUGGUACUGACCCUGAGUAAAUAAACAUCAUCUACCCUGCUUACAUCUGUAAAAUACACUAAGUUAGAAGGCAUGGAAUGCCCAGACAGACUGGUGCUGCUUGGAAUGCAUAAACUCCCACAGUUCACAUGUCCUGGUUUCUCUGAGUAGGGUCCUCUGAGGGCCACAAGGCUUCAAUAGUGGAAUUUGAGUCACUUUUCCUGCCACUGUACGAAGCCAUCUGUUACUUCACUGCUCUCGCUCUCAGACGACAUCUCUUCAUCAGGCAUUAAUUCACUGACAAGCAAACACUACAGUGCCUUUCCCCUCUGAAACUACCAUCAUAACAAAGUAGUCUGAAAUCCAGCUGUGAUGCACUACAAAAUCUGGCAGUUGAGUUAAAUAGACCAAAAAUACAGAACACUCUUGAUGGCUUGCUCUAACAAUGAAUUUGCUGAAUGUUCCAGUUAAAAUGAUCAAGAUGUUUGGGGACUGCUUUAACAGUUUUAAUAUUAAGUUUUAAAAAUAUUUCAGAAGCUGAGGAAAAGGAAAAACAAAAAUAAGAGAUAAUGAUUAAAUAGCAAGUAUGUGACAGUAUCUGGAUACUUGGUUUUACACCUCCAUUCAUAACUGAAUUCCCAUUUGAUGGUGUUGCAGGUGCCACACUGUAACACUGCUCUAACCUACUGAUCCUACUGCACUUCAUCCUUUCAUGGUCAGGUUUACUCUCCUGUUGAUGCCCACAGGCUCCCCAGAUUAACAUUAAUAGCAG